UGGGGAAUAUUGCACAAUGGGGGAAACCCUGAUGCAGCAACGCCGCGUGAGUGAUGAAGGUUUUCGGAUCGUAAAGCUCUGUCUUUGGGGAAGAUAAUGACGGUACCCAAGGAGGAAGCCACGGCUAACUACGUGCCAGCAGCCGCGGUAAUACGUAGGUGGCGAGCGUUAUCCGGAUUUACUGGGCGUAAAGGGAGCGUAGGCGGAUGAUUAAGUGGGAUGUGAAAUACCCGGGCUCAACUUGGGUGCUGCAUUCCAAACUGGUUAUCUAGAGUGCAGGAGAGGAGAGUGGAAUUCCUAGUGUAGCGGUGAAAUGCGUAGAGAUUAGGAAGAACACCAGUGGCGAAGGCGACUCUCUGGACUGUAACUGACGCUGAGGCUCGAAAGCGUGGGGAGCAAACAGGAUUAGAUACCCUGGUAGU
rnacentral:rRNA from 1 species